rnacentral:rRNA from 1 species
CAAAACUGCAAAUGGCUCAUUAAAACAGUUAUUGUUUACUUGAUAAUAAUUUUUACAUGGAUAACCGUGGUAAUUCUACAGCUAAUACAUGAGCAAAAUCUCAACUUUAUUAGAAGAGACGCAUUUAUUAGAUAAAAAGCCAGUUCAUGCUUUUACAGUAUGAAAAUUGGUGAUUUAUAAUAACUUAGCAAAUCGCAAAGUGAAAACAGGCGAUAAAUCAUUCAAGUUUCUGACCUAUCAGCUUUCGACGGUAUGGUAUUGGCUUACCGUGGCAGUGACGGUUAACGGGGGAUUAGGGUUCGAUUCCGGAGAGGGAGCCUGAGAAACGGCUACCACAUCUAAGGAAGGCAGCAGGCGCGCAAAUUACCCAAUUCUAACAGUUUGAGAGAGGUAGUAACAAGAAAUAACAAUACAAGGCAGUUAAAAUGCUUUGUAAUUGGAAUGAUAGAAAUUUAAACCCUUUUUAAAGUAUCAAUUGGAGGGCAAGUCUGGUGCCAGCAGCCGCGGUAAUUCCAGCUCCAAUAGCGUAUAUUAAAAUUGUUGCAGUUAAAAAGCUCGUAGUUGAAGUUCUGCUGAAAGUAACCGGUCUGCUUUUAAUAAAAGUGGUAUCUUGGUAUGUAUUUAGCAAUGAUGUCCUUUGAA